CUGAGAGUGAAGGAGAAGUGCGGCACAGCAUGGGGGGCUACAGCGUGUGAAUGGUUGGGUUUGUGUCUUUUGAGCCUUUAUGACCAAAACGCAGAGGAAUGAGAGAGGAAGGCACAUAAAACAAUAAAUGUGUGAGGAUUGGUGCGUAUGUUUGCGUGAGUAACUGUGCGUGUGCCAGUGCUUGAGUGUUUGCUGAGCCUUUCAUGUUCAUUACAUGGUGCCUUGUCCAUGUCAGGCUUCACCUACUGAUCAAACUCAGAGUUGGAGUGGCUCAGCUGGCUGGAGUGGACACACACACACAAAAAAGACUGGUCACCUCUUUCAUGGCCAUUGUGCUUUAAUGUCCUGUGGUUUUGCACCAGGUGCAUACCCUCAGCAUGCACAGGAUUUAACACACAGCACUUCAUCCCUCAAAUGCCCUCGCUCUCCCAGUUUGUCUCAUCUUCCUCCAAAGUGCAUUCAAGCACACGCAUGCACGCUCAGAAAAAAAAGGAAAAAGUGGCAUUCCAGGGUUUGAGCUGCUCAUGGAGUAUAAUUUUAUUUGCAAACACAAUAAUGGGUUCAUGACUCUCAUGACACUAUCUGUCACAUGUUCGCCCAUCUUUCUAAUUAUGUAUUGGGAUUCUGCCUCAGGAAAAACCUUUAGGAGGUGUAUAAGAAACAUGUUCUGUUAUCAAGAAGUCGUCUUCUCUCCCUAGCUGUGAUGUAUUUUACAUGGCAGCCACAGUGAAACCUGCUUCAUCCUGGUGAUGGAACCGAAAGGAGGAAAAUGGAAUUCCAUCUAUUGAACGCAAACCCAUUAUCAAUUACACAAAAACCCCUCAGCGUGUGUGUAUGCCUGUGCGUGUAUGUGUUCUUGUAAAGGAAAGGGGUUGCUCGAAAAUGCAAUUCAAUCUUGGACAAAAUAUGUGGAAAAAGUCGCUGCAUCCCAACUUUGAAAUCACAUUCUGCUUAGUUAUUCCCUUCACUAUCACCAUCUAUCGACCAUCUACCUCCUGAGGUUUUCCACCGAGAAUUGCAUGAGCUUACAGCAUGUAACACUGGGGGACAUGUGUGAACGUCAUCCCAAGCGGUUAACAGAUGAUGCGUCCCAGAGACAGAAGGGAGAGAGCACGUAGUGGUGUACAGCAAAGCCUCCGGUGACUGAUACCAACCCUUAUGCCACCCAGUUUUCGUGAUUUUGAGGUUUUUCAGGUGAGCGAUUUCCCUUUUCCUUGGCACGCCUCAGAUCGAGGUUGGGCUGAUCUCAAAUAAACUCUUAAUAAGCCCCAUUUCACGGCAUGCAGCCAAGAGAUUAGAUCUGACAGGGCAGGCGUGGGCUAGUACUGAGACUACAGAUCUGCAGGCUAAGCUCUGGAUUGGAAAUGUUCCAAAGCCUGGUGCAGCUUGUUGGAUGGAGAGAAAUGAUUGUGAGAAAUUCCACAUUCCCUACUGACCAACCCACCUGCUACACCACACCUUAAUCCAACCUUUACUCCCCCCCGAGAGACAUGUUUAUAGGUGUAAGUUUUAUGGAAAAAAUUAACAGUUCCAACUUUCUCGCUGCCAGAUGUUGGGAGGGCUUUCAACUGCUGACCUAUACCACCUUUCCUUAUGACAGAGCCCCCCGGAGAUGCUCUGCCUACAUCGUAUGAGGUGCGAGCCAUUGGUUUGAGCUACAGCAGCAUAUGAAUCAUCUUCCAUAUGAAGCUAAAGAAAUGUUCUCACAGCCCAGGGCACAAGCAGGUGAACUCAGCUUGCCAUAUGGCUUAGGGGGAGCUUAUUAGGCUUUGAGCAGAAAACACAUUAUCCACAGUGGACCAAGGCCACCGAGAGAUGAUUUCCAUUAUGAAAGCCUUUAAUUCCACUGGUAUGAGUAGGCAGGGGUGAGGGGGGUGUUAAUGUGGAAAAAUGCUUGAGGAAAGGAGCUGCACACUGCAAACCACUUGGCUCGUGCUGGGGUGGAUGAUAUCUUCAAGGCCUGUCUACUCCUUACUGGCAUUGAAAGCGAAAUGUGUUGUCUUCGGCUUUUUUUUCCCCUGAACACAGUUUUGAAAGUAAUUACAUGGUUGAUAAUACAAAUGGCCAUCUGACCUCUCUGACUUAUCUUUUUCUCUUUUUCCAUGUUGCUCUCUGAAUCAAACUUACCCCCAGGAUGUUUGUACGUUUGGUGUCAUGUAAAAAAAAAAAAAAUGCUGCAAACAAAUACAAGAGAAGUUUAAUGAGGAAA